AUGGCUGUACCGGUAUAGGGUUGAUGGUUGUACCGGCACAAUCACCGUGCUUGUACCGGUACAGAGCCGUUGAACCCCCAACCCAAGCCUCGGGUUGUGAUGUUUCGUAGGGCUUAUACCGGUACAGGGGCCCGUGUACCGGUACAAGGUGGUAGAUUUUGAGCAGUUUGAACUGUAGGGUGUUUUUGCGAUUGUGGGUCUCUUAUAUCACCACCCACGCCCUUGAGGCCUUCCCUGAGCUCACCAGCAGCAAGAGGAGAGGCUUUUCCACCAUUGGAGCUUGGGUUUGGGGCUUGAGAGGAGGAAGAUCUCCACACUUGGUGAACUUAGAAUCUUGUUGGAAGCUUCCAAGAGGGCUUUUGGAGCUAGAUUCAUUGGAUUAGAAUCCUUCUUUGGGUUGGAUUUGAAGGAUUCUAGCCUUCUUUUGGAGCUUGUGAGAGUUUUUCCCCACCCUAGGGUAUUUUGAGACUCAUGGACAACUCCGUUCGGCGAA